GCACUCUGAGUUCUCUUCGCAACAAAUAAAUCUUUCGCCUUUUACUAAAGAUUUCUUUGGAGAGGAGCAAUAAUGAGUCUUAUAGACUAUUUUUCAAACCCUUCACCUGUAGGGU